AUUGAACGCUGGCGGCAUACCUUACACAUGCAAGUCGAACGGUAACAGGUCUUCGGAUGCUGACGAGUGGCGAACGGGUGAGUAAUACAUCGGAACGUGCCUAGUAGUGGGGGAUAACUACUCGAAAGAGUGGCUAAUACCGCAUGAGAUCUACGGAUGAAAGCAGGGGAUCGCAAGACCUUGUGCUACUAGAGCGGCCGAUGGCAGAUUAGGUAGUUGGUGGGAUAAAAGCUUACCAAGCCGACGAUCUGUAGCUGGUCUGAGAGGACGAUCAGCCACACUGGGACUGAGACACGGCCCAGACUCCUACGGGAGGCAGCAGUGGGGAAUUUUGGACAAUGGGCGCAAGCCUGAUUCAGCAAUGCCGCGUGCAGGAUGAAGGCCUUCGGGUUGUAAACUGCUUUUGUACGGAACGAAAAGCCCUGGGUUAAUACCCUGGGGUCAUGACGGUACCGUAAGAAUAAGCACCGGCUAACUACGUGCCAGCCGCCGCAGUAA
rnacentral:rRNA from 1 species